AUGAAGAACGUAGCGAAAUGCGAUAAGUAAUGUGAAUUGCAGAAUUCAGUGAAUCAUCGAAUCUUUGAACGCACAUUGCGCCCUCUGGUAUUCCGGGGGGCAUGCCUGUUCGAGCGUCAUUACAACCCUCAAGCUUUGCUUGGUAUUGGACAUUGCCAGUUUCUGGCAGGUCUUAAAAUCAGUGGCGGUGCCAUUUGGCUUCAAGCGUAGUAAUUCUUCUCGCUUUGGAGAUCCAGGUGGUUACUUGCCAAUAACCCCCAAUUUUUUCAGGUUGACCUCGGAUCAGGUAGGGAUACCCGCUGAACUUAAGCAUAUCAAUAAGCGGAGGA
rnacentral:misc_RNA from 1 species